ensembl:lncRNA
GGGAGUGUCCCUGCACUCUUUUCCCCCUUCAAGCCCUAGAAGGGGGUGUUGGCUUGGGGAGGGGCUGGAGUCCUGAGGGCCCUCAACAAAAGCUCAAAUGUAAGAACGAGGAGGGGACCCGUGACCAGGAGUCAGGGAGAGACGGCGGGGGAACCGGCAGGAACCCCUGUAGUGAAGGGAACCCCCCAGAGAACCCCCUCAAACUACAGAGUCACCCCUUCGGCGGCAACGUAGAGACGGUGGACGGCGUGGGGUUCUGCGCCUGGCCCAGAUCCCAUGAUCUGAGUCACUGAUGUUGUGUUUUUUAGUUUUUUGGGAGGUUGGCGGGUGGCUAGUGUUUGUGUGUGUGUUUCCUUUGCCCGUUUGUUAUUUUUUUCUUUAAUACAUAACUGGUUUCUGUGUGUUGUGUGUGUCUUUGCAUGUUUCUAAAUUAUUGUUUUCAAUCUUAAAUAUAUUUAACAUAUAAUUGUGUUUGUGUUUGUGUUUGAGCUUUCU